rnacentral:tRNA from 1 species
GCAGCUCGGUGGUAGAGCUUCUGCUUUCCAUGCAGAUGGUCCCAGGUUCAAUCCCUGGCUUCUCCA